rnacentral:rRNA from 1 species
UACGUAGGAGACGAGCGUUGUCCGGAAUUACUGGGCGUAAAGCGCGUGUAGGCGGAUGAGCAAGUCUGCUGUGAAAGCUCCUGGCUUAACCGGGAGUGGUCGGUGGAAACUGCUCGUCUGGAGGACGGUAGAGGUAGGUAGAAUUCCCGGUGUAGUGGUGAAAUGCGUAGAGAUCGGGAGGAAUACCUGUGGCGAAGGCGGCCUACUGGGCCGGACCUGACGCUGAGGCACGAAAGCGUGGGGAUCAAACAGG